rnacentral:rRNA from 1 species
UACGAAGGGGGCUAGCGUUGCUCGGAAUCACUGGGCGUAAAGCGCACGUAGGCGGCUUACUAAGUCAGGGGUGAAAUCCUGGAGCUCAACUCCAGAACUGCCUUUGAUACUGGUAAGCUCGAGUCCGGGAGAGGUGAGUGGAACUGCGAGUGUAGAGGUGAAAUUCGUAGAUAUUCGCAAGAACACCAGUGGCGAAGGCGGCUCACUGGCCCAUUACUGACGCUGAGGCACGAAAGCCAGGGGAGCAAACAGG